rnacentral:rRNA from 1 species
AGUCGAGCGGGCGAGGUUGCUUCGGUAACUGAGCUAGCGGCGGACGGGUGAGUAAUGCUUAGGAAUCUGCCUAUUAGUGGGGGACAACAUUCCGAAAGGAAUGCUAAUACCGCAUACGCCCUACGGGGGAAAGCAGGGGAUCUUCGGACCUUGCGCUAAUAGAUGAGCCUAAGUCAGAUUAGCUAGUUGGUGGGGUAAAGGCCUACCAAGGCGACGAUCUGUAGCGGGUCUGAGAGGAUGAUCCGCCACACUGGGACUGAGACACGGCCCAGACUCCUACGGGAGGCAGCAGUGGGGAAUAUUGGACAAUGGGCGAAAGCCUGAUCCAGCCAUGCCGCGUGUGUGAAGAAGGCCUUUUGGUUGUAAAGCACUUUAAGCGAGGAGGAGGCUACUUAGAUUAAUACUCUAGGAUAGUGGACGUUACUCGCAGAAUAAGCACCGGCUAACUCUGUGCCAGCAGCCGCGGUAAUACAGAGGGUGCGAGCGUUAAUCGGAUUUACUGGGCGUAAAGCGUGCGUAGGCGGCUUCUUAAGUCGGAUGUGAAAUCCCUGAGCUUAACUUAGGAAUUGCAUUCGAUACUGGGAAGCUAGAGUAUGGGAGAGGAUGGUAGAAUUCCAGGUGUAGCGGUGAAAUGCGUAGAGAUCUGGAGGAAUACCGAUGGCGAAGGCAGCCAUCUGGCCUAAUACUGACGCUGAGGUACGAAAGCAUGGGGAGCAAACAGGAUUAGAUACCCUGGUAGUCCAUGCCGUAAACGAUGUCUACUAGCCGUUGGGGCCUUUGAGGCUUUAGUGGCGCAGCUAACGCGAUAAGUAGACCGCCUGGGGAGUACGGUCGCAAGACUAAAACUCAAAUGAAUUGACGGGGGCCCGCACAAGCGGUGGAGCAUGUGGUUUAAUUCGAU